rnacentral:rRNA from 1 species
AUGGAUGUGGAUGCAGAUGAGGAGGAGGAGGAGGCAGAGGACGAGGUCAUCUCUAAGGGUUUCAUCUCUCCCACCUCUGAGCCAUCAUGGGCUAAGAGGCUGAAGAACAAGAUGAAGGCUCUGUUCUGUAUGCAAGCUCAGGGGCAAUAUCGGACUCACGUUGCUUCCAAGGAGAAUCGCCGUUGUGACAAGAGGAUGUUGAGGAAGCUUGGCGAGGAGGUGUCUAGCGGUUCUGAGAGGCACAUCACUCCCGAGGCUGACUGGAUGGCCAAGCAAGGCCUCGUGUGGACCGAUUCUGAGGAGAACAACGAGGAUACCAUUCCCACUGCCGAGUCUGACGAGGAGCGUGCGUCUGACUACUCCGCUUGA